UACGAAGGGGGCUAGCGUUGCUCGGAAUUACUGGGCGUAAAGCGCACGUAGGCGGAUUGUUAAGUCGGGGGUGAAAUCCUGGAGCUCAACUCCAGAACUGCCUUCGAUACUGGCGAUCUCGAGUUCGGGAGAGGUUAGUGGAACUGCGAGUGUAGAGGUGAAAUUCGUAGAUAUUCGCAAGAACACCAGUGGCGAAGGCGGCUCACUGGCCCGAUACUGACGCUGAGGUGCGAAAGCGUGGGGAGCAAACAGG
rnacentral:rRNA from 1 species